rnacentral:rRNA from 1 species
AUUGAACGCUGGCGGCAGGCCUAACACAUGCAAGUCGAACGAGUGGCGGACGGGUGAGUAAUGUCUGGGAAACUGCCCGAUGGAGGGGGAUAACUACUGGAAACGGUAGCUAAUACCGCAUACCAUCGGAUGUGCCCAGAUGGGAUUAGAUAGUAGGUGGAGUAACGGCUCACCUAGGCGACGAUCCCUAGCGGGUCUGAGAGGAUGACCGGCCACACUGGAACUGAGACACGGUCCAGACUCCUACGUGAUGCAGCAGUGGGAAAUAUUGCACAAUGGGCGCAAUCCUUAUGCAGCCAUGCCGCGUGUAUGAAGAAGGCCUUCGGGUUGUAAAGUACUUUCAGCGAGGAGGCGUUACUCGCAGAAGAAGCACCGGCUAACUCCGUGCCAGCCGCCGCGGUAAUUC